rnacentral:rRNA from 1 species
AUUGAACGCUGGCGGCAGGCCUAACACAUGCAAGUCGAGCGGAUGAAGGGAGCUUGCUCCUGGAUUCAGCGGCGGACGGGUGAGUAAUGCCUAGGAAUCUGCCUGGUAGUGGGGGAUAACGUCCGGAAACGGGCGCUAAUACCGCAUACGUCCUGAGGGAGAAAGUGGGGGAUCUUCGGACCUCACGCUAUCAGAUGAGCCUAGGUCGGAUUAGCUAGUUGGUGGGUAAAGGCCUAACAAGGCGACGAUCCGUAACUGGUCUGGGAGGAUGAUCAGUCACACUGGAACUGAGACACGGUCCAGACUCCUACGUGAGGCAGCAGUGGGGAAUAUUGGACAAUGGGCGAAAGCCUGAUCCAGCCAUGCCGCGUGUGUGAAGAAGGUCUUCGGAUUGUAAAGCACUUUAAGUUGGGAGGAAGGGCAGUAAGUUAAUACCUUGCUGUUUUGACGUUACCAACAGAAUAAGCACCGGCUAACUUCGUG